UUCGACCCCUGGGUCGGGAAGAUCCGCUGGAGAAGGAAAUGGUAGCCCACUCCAGUAUUCCUGCCUGGGCAAUCCUAUGGAGGAACCCGGCAGGCUCCAGCCCGUGGGGCUGUAAAAGAACUGGACAUGACUUAGCAACUAAACAACAA